ensembl:rRNA 5S_rRNA 5S ribosomal RNA
GUCUGCAGCUGCACAAGUCUGAACACACACAAUCUUGUCUAAUCUUGGAAGUUAAGCAGGGUUGUAUCUGGUUAGUUCUUGGGUAAGAGAUUACCUGGAAAUAUUGCAUUCUGUAAGCU